AAGUCGUAACAAGGUUUCCGUUGGUGAACCAGCGGAAGGAUUAUUCAUGAAGGGUUUUAGCCCUCUCAUUAUUUCCUGUGCACUAUUUAUUUGUUUGGUAGCGAUUGGACCCAGAUUUUGGACCGUGGUCCUCAAUUAAAGGGAGAAUUAAAUUUUUGGUAUAGAUUCCUCAAAUCCAAACAAAGUGUUUUGCUUAGAUAGUUAAUCUUCGCAACUCACAUACUGUUUUUUAUAUAUUUGAAAAGUUUAAUUAAGACUUUUAGCAAGGGAUCUCUAGGCUCUCAAUUCGAUGAAGAACGCAGC
rnacentral:misc_RNA from 1 species